GCCCUGGUGGAUCACGGUAGGUCGUCCCUCCUCCAUGAAGUCUUUCUGGUCCUCAGAGGGAAGACGGGGGUUCGACUCCUCCCCAGGGCA